ACGGAAGGCAGCAGUCGGGAAUAUUGCGCAAUGGAGGAAACUCUGACGCAGUGACGCCGCGUAUAGGAAGAAGGUUUUCGGAUUGUAAACUAUUGUCGAAGGGGAAGAAAAAAUGACAGUACCCUUGGAGGAAGCCCCGGCUAACUACGUGCCAGCAGCCGCGGUAAUACGUAGGGGGCGAGCGUUGUCCGGAAUUAUUGGGUGUAAAGGGUGCGUAGACGGGAACUUAAGUUAGUUGUGAAAUCCCUCGGCUUAACUGAGGAAGAUAGACUAAAACUGGGUUUCUUGAGUGCAGGAGAGGAAAGUGGAAUUCCUAGUGUAGCGGUGGAAUGCGUAGAUAUUAGGAAGAACACCAGUGGCGAAGGCGACUUUCUGGACUGUAACUGACGUUGAGGCACGAAAGUGUGGGGAGCAAACAGGAUUAGAUACCCUGGUA
rnacentral:rRNA from 1 species